rnacentral:rRNA from 1 species
GCCAAACUUGGCAUGUGAUACCUUUCAGGAAAGCCCAAAGAUAGCCCUCCGACGAAAUAAGCAGGACAAUGGAACUUUUCCAUUGACUUUUUGUCGACCCCAAAUUUUGACUUUUAAGUACUUUUUCGGGCAUUUUCGUGAUUUGGGCUAUAUUACGGACCCAAAAUUACUUGUUCAAGCAUUGUUUUCGAAUUUUUUCAUGCAUCAAAGCUCGUUAAGACUAGAUGGGGUAUCCCUACAUAGCGGGUGGGACCCACGGCGAAUGGUUCAUCAAGUCUUCAAAAAAGAAUAUAUACGAUUGCAUUGCAUAUACUAACGGAUGCGAUCAUACCAGCACUAAUGCACCGGAUCCCAUCAGAACUCCGCAGUUAAGCGUGCUUGGGCGAGAGUAGUACUAGGAUGGGUGACCUCCCGGGAAGUCC